rnacentral:rRNA from 1 species
GAUGAACGCUGGCGGCGUGCUUAACACAUGCAAGUCGAACGAUGAAGGGAGCUUGCUCCUGGAUUAGUGGCGAACGGGUGAGUAACACGUGAGUAACCUGCCCUUGACUCUGGGAUAAGCCUGGGAAACUGGGUCUAAUACCGGAUAUGACCUUCCAUCGCACGGUGGUUGGUGGAAAGCUUUUGUGGUUUUGGAUGGACUCGCGGCCUAUCAGCUUGUUGGUGGGGUAAUGGCCUACCAAGGCGACGACGGGUAGCCGGCCUGAGAGGGUGGCCGGCCACACUGGGACUGAGACACGGCCCAGACUCCUACGGGAGGCAGCAGUGGGGAAUAUUGCACAAUGGGCGCAAGCCUGAUGCAGCGACGCCGCGUGAGGGAUGACGGCCUUCGGGUUGUAAACCUCUUUCAGUAGGGAAGAAGCGAGAGUGACGGAACCUGCAGAAGAAGCGCCGGCUAACUACGUGCCAGCCGCCGCCGUAAGAC